AUGUCACAGAUUUGUUUCAUGUUGCUCAUCUUGAGUUUCUUUGAGGGAUCCAGGGGGAUCACUCAGACACCAGCUUCUAUACAGGCAAGUCCUGGGGACACUGUCAAGAUGCAGUGCAUAGCUUCCUCUUCUAUGAGUGAUGAUAUGUCCUUAUAUCAGUUUAAACCAGGACAGAAGCCCAAGCUUCUUAUUCAUGAUGCUACGAGCCGUUUUGAAGGCACCCCAGAUCGCUUCAGUGGUACCUACAGUAACACUGACUUCUCAUUCACCAUCAGCGACAUCAGUGUCGAGGAUGAAGGAAGCUACUACUGUGCCCAACAGUACAGCACUCAGGGGCGCAGAGAAGAUGCCACGCCAUCGGAGUGA